ensembl:lncRNA
CUGUUUAUAUAGGGUAAUAAAUCUCUUCUGAAGCAAUAUAGUUCAUUUUGGGUGAAAAACAAAACAUUCCUCUAAAAUAUAUAUACUGACAUCAGCAAUCAACAUCAUGAUUGUAAUUAUUUCCUUUUUAGUACAUCUACUGCUGUUUGCAUGUGUCAAGCACUACGACUGUAUCUAUGCAUAUAAAUUCACCAUAUAUAUCCAGCAAAAAUGUUUUGUUAUAGUCAAAAGGAAAACAAACAAAGGCAUUCAAUCAGAGGUGAGAAAUUAAUUGGGAAUAUGAAUUAUAGGUGAACUAUUCUUUACCUACUAGCAAUCAAAUUCAAAUUCAAAUUCAAAUUCAAAUUUUAUUUGUCACGUACACAGUCAUACACAGUACGAUAUGUAGUGAAAUGCUUGGACAACUGCUCGUGACCUAAAGAGAACAAAAAAGGAAAAGGCUAUGAAUAAGAUAGGAAAUAAAUAUGAAAAAUUAAAAAGGGUAAAUUUAACUAGGAAGGAAUAAAAUAUAAAUUAAGGUUAAAAAUGAAAUAACUGUACAACACAAAUUAGAAUGAAGGGUAAAUUUAACUGGGAAGGAAUAAAAUAUAAAUUAAGGUUAAAAAUGAAAUAACUGUACAACACAAAUUAGAAUGAAGGGUAAAUUUAACUGGGAAGAAUAAGAUAAAAUAUAUAAAUUAAAGUUGAAAAUAAAAUAACUGUACAACAAAAUACACAAUACACAAUAUAGAACUAUAUAAGAAUGUAUGAAGAAAUCUAAAUCUAAAUAAAUAUAUACACAAUAACAGCAGCUGUACAAGUAUUAACUGGAAAUGAAGAAUAUAGUGACCAGUGUUGUGCAAAAACAAAGUCCAGAAAGUCCAGUGUGUGUGUAAGAACCAUAUGUGUGGGUCAGUACUGUGUGGUGGUGUGAUUGAGAGACCGUAUCGCCUGCGGGAAGAAGCUCCUCCUCAGUCUCUCUGUGUUGGUCUUCAGGGAGCGGAAUCGAUUUCCUGACCUCAGCAGAGAGAACAGUCUGUUGUUGGGAUGGCUGAGGUCCUUCACGAUCUUCCUGGCCUUGGUCCAGCACCGCCUGCUGUAGAUUGAGUGCAGGUCAGGGAGCUCGGAGCGGAUGGUGCGCUCAGCUGACCGCACAACCCUCUGUAGAGCUCGUCUGUCCUGCAUGGUGCUGUUCCCGAACCAGGUUAAGAUGUUUCCCGCCAGGAUGCUCUCUAUGGUGCACGAGUAAAAGUUCCUGAGCACCUUGGAGGGCAGUUGGAAGUCUCUCAAGCGUCUGAGGUGGUAGAGACGCUGUCGGGCCUUUUUCACCACGGUGUUGAUGUGACAGGAC